CGGCUUGGGCGGAGGAUGUCACCCCAGCGGGUGGGAGCUGGGAUCGAACCCCGCCGCGGCCUCCCGCUUCCACCCAACCCCGACGGGGCCAUGGGCAGUGGGGAAGGGGGACGCGCGCCCAGUGACGUCAUCGAAUCCCGAGUCCGGCCUUCGCCGCUGUCGUCACAGAGGGGCUGCGCUGCGUCACUGCAUUCCUCCCCUGACGUCAGCGCAAGAGGCCAGAAACUGGCCCACCGAGCGAGAGAGAAGUCUGGAGCGGAGUCUUCCUUUCUCGCCUUUUUAAUUUGAGACGGGGUUUCGCCAUGUUGGCCAGACUGGUCUCGAACUCCUGACCUCAGCUGAUCCACCUGCCUAGGCCUCACAAAGUGCUGGAAUUAUAGGUGUGAGCCACCGUGCCCAGCCUGAUCUCAUUGGAUCUUUGCAGCAAUUUGAUGAAU
rnacentral:sRNA from 1 species